CUGGAGGACCGAACCGACUAAUGUUGAAAAAUUAGCGGAUGACUUGUGGCUGGGGGUGAAAGGCCAAUCAAACCGGGAGAUAGCUGGUUCUCCCCGAAAUCUAUUUAGGUAGAGCCUUGAGCGGACACCUUCGGGGGUAGAGCACUGUUUCGGCUAGGGGUCCAUCCCGGAUUACCAACCCGAUGCAAACUACGAAUACCGAAGAGUGAUACUCAGGAGACACACGGCGGGUGCUAACGUCCGUCGUGGAGAGGGAAACAACCCAGACCGCCAGCUAAGGUCCCAAAGUCUAUAUUAAGUGGGAAACGAAGUGGGAAGGCUUAGACAGCUAGGAUGUUGGCUUAGAAGCAGCCAUCAUUUAAAGAAAGCGUAAUAGCUCACUAGUCGAGUCGGCCUGCGCGGAAGAUGUAACGGGGCUCAAAUAUAGCACCGAAGCUGCGGCAUCAGUAGCAAUACUGUUGGGUAGGGGAGCGUUCUGUAAGCGGAUGAAGGUGGCUCGAGAGGGCUGCUGGACGUAUCAGAAGUGCGAAUGCUGACAUAAGUAACGAUAAAACGGGUGAAAAACCCGUUCGCCGGAAGACCAAGGGUUCCUGUCCAACGUUAAUCGGGGCAGGGUGAGUCGGCCCCUAAGGCGAGGCUGAAAAGCGUAGUCGAUGGGAAACGGGUUAAUAUUCCCGUACUUGGAUAAACUGCGAUGUGGGGACGGAGCAGGUUAGGUUAUCGCACUGUUGGAUAUGUGCGUUUAAGUUGGUAGGUGAGAAGUUUAGGCAAAUCCGGACUUCUAUCACACCGAGAGAUGAUGACGAGGCUCUACGGAGCUGAAGUAACCGAUACCACACUUCCAGGAAAAGCCACUAAGCUUCAGGUUUAUCUAAACCGUACUGAAAACCGACACAGGUGGUCAGGUAGAGAAUACUCAGGCGCUUGAGAGAACUCGGGUGAAGGAACUAGGCAAAAUAGCACCGUAACUUCGGGAGAAGGUGCGCCGGCGUAGAUUGUAGUCCCUAGCGGGCGAAGGUUGAACCGGUCGAAGAUACCAGCUGGCUGCAACUGUUUAUUAAAAACACAGCACUCUGCAAACACGAAAGUGGACGUAUAGGGUGUGAUGCCUGCCCGGUGCUGGAAGGUUAAUUGAUGGUGUAAUCGAAAGAGAAGCUCCUGAUCGAAGCCCCAGUAAACGGCGGCCGUAACUAUAACGGUCCUAAGGUAGCGAAAUUCCUUGUCGGGUAAGUUCCGACCUGCACGAAUGGCAUAAUGAUGGCCAGGCUGUCUCCACCCGAGACUCAGUGAAAUUGAAAUCGCCGUGAAGAUGCGGUGUACCCGCGGCUAGACGGAAAGACCCCGUGAACCUUUACUAUAGCUUGACACUGAACAUUGAAUUUUGAUGUGUAGGAUAGGUGGGAGCCUUUGAAGCAGUCACGCCAGUGAUUGUGGAGGCGUCCUUGAAAUACCACCCUUUAACGUUUGAUGUUCUAACGAAGAUUACGAAACGUGGUCUCGGACAGUGUCUGGUGGGUAGUUUGACUGGGGCGGUCUCCUCCCAAAGAGUAACGGAGGAGCACGAAGGUUUGCUAAUGACGGUCGGACAUCGUCAGGUUAGUGCAAUGGUAUAAGCAAGCUUAACUGCGAGACAGACAAGUCGAGCAGGUACGAAAGUAGGUCAUAGUGAUCCGGUGGUUCUGAAUGGAAGGGCCAUCGCUCAACGGAUAAAAGGUACUCCGGGGAUAACAGGCUGAUACCGCCCAAGAGUUCAUAU
rnacentral:rRNA from 1 species